AAAAAAAAAAAAAAAAAAAAAAAAAAAAAACCGCCCCCCCCCCCACUAGCCCUAUGUCUCUUCCCUUGUUUCCCCUUGGCCUUUUUAUGGUCUUGUUCCUCUUUCUCGUCUUCUUGCGAGAUU
rnacentral:ribozyme from 12 species